ensembl:ncRNA lncRNA:CR43490 long non-coding RNA:CR43490
ACACUGCACAUGACAGUGGCACUCGUUUUAUUUACACGACAAGUGGCAAUUACAAAAAUCCGGUGGCAGUCACUGCUCAUUUCGCUGCAUGUUCGAGUGGCAUGAAAAUGUUGCGAUUUCCAUUCACAUUUGCCCCUCUGCCACUGGCCACUUGAGAAGCCAUCCACAUAUAAAUCCGAUUGCUUCCCUAUAAAUUCCGAUACAUAUUUCCCGAUAAUUGCUUGGCUUUGAUUUGUGCUCACUGAAUAUGGCUUUGAAGAUUUGGGCCUUAAUUGCUUGGCAUACAUUUCUCUUGACCAACUAUUUGGCCGAAUCCAAUGAACAGCAGAUGCAGCCCUCUUUAUUGCCUUAUUGAUGAAAUUGUUUACAUGUGUAAUUAAGUUACCAGUCCAGUAAAUGUGUUGAUGAUGUGAACAAAUUUAUUUGCCAUAUUAUUUGCAUAUGUUUAAGCCGAGUAUUUUAUUUUUUACUGCCCACCAUUAUGGUUAUUGCUAUGGCCGAGAUUCGCUGGAUGCCGGACAUUGGCUCAGUCCGCUCGUAAAUAUUUAUGCUGCAGCCGUAUUGUUGUCGGAAUUAAAACGGCAAACAUGACACUCGAAAAAAUAAUAAAGCAAUCAGUUAAGCGCAGCUACUGGACGGGUAAUUAUAUAAAUUGUUUACUUAUGCCAGCGGAACUGCCUAUGUGUUUAUUCUGUUUAUUUAUAUUCUCGGCCUGAGUGUGCAAGUGCAAUCAAAUUUUAUGUGCUUAUAGUUCUGCUUAGCAUUAAAUUAAAAUACGUACCAACGUUUACAAGCACCUCGGAUGAUGUCAAUUGCUAUAAAAACACGCUCGUAAACGCUACGUUACGCAUACGCCAUGUUGUGCAAGAACCUCGACGACCACGACGACGUCACCAUUUUGCCUAGAUGUUGUCAAACAUGGCCAGACAAGGAGCGCCGGACAGAAACACCUCACUCAUUGGCCCAACCAGUGCACUGGUGGCACUAGAUGGGAAACCUCAUGCUAGUGAUGACAGCUUCCAGCUGAAUAG